rnacentral:rRNA from 1 species
CAAUAGCGUAUAUUAAAGUUGUUGCGGUUAAAAAGCUCGUAGUUGGAUUUCUGCUGAGAACGACCGGUCCGCCCUCUGGGUGUGUAUCUGGCUCUUUCUUGGCAUCUUCUUGGUGAACGUUGCUGCACUUGACUGUGUGGAGCGCUACCCAGGACUUUUACUUUGAGGAAAUUAGAGUGUUUCAAGCAGGCAUACGCCUUGAAUACAUUAGCAUGGAAUAAUAAGAUAGGACCUCGGUUCUAUUUUGUUGGUUUCUAGAGCUGAGGUAAUUAUUAAUAGGGAUAGUUGGGGGCAUUCGUAUUUAACUGUCAGAGGUGAAAUUCUUGGAUUUAUGAAAGACGAACUUCUGCGAAAGCAUUUGCCAAGGAUGUUUUCAUUAA